rnacentral:rRNA from 1 species
AACGAACGCUGGCGGCAUGCUUAGCACAUGCAAGUCGAACGAGACCUUCGGGUCUAGUGGCGCACGGGUGCGUAACGCGUGGGAAUCUGCCCUUUGCUACGGAAUAACUCAGAGAAAUUUGUGCUAAUACCGUAUAAUGUCGUAAGACCAAAGAUUUAUCGGCAAAGGAUGAGCCCGCGUAAGAUUAGCUUGUUGGUGGGGUAAAGGCUCACCAAGGCGACGAUCUUUAGCUGGUCUGAGAGGAUGAUCAGCCACACUGGGACUGAGACACGGCCCAGACUCCUACGGGAGGCAGCAGUGGGGAAUAUUGGACAAUGGGCGAAAGCCUGAUCCAGCAAUGCCGCGUGAGUGAUGAAGGCCUUAGGGUUGUGAAGCUCUUUUACCAGGGAUGAUAAUGACAGUACCUGGAGAAUAAGCUCCGGCUAACUCCGUGCCAGCCGCCGCCGUAA